CCCGGCCCGCCGGUGCCUCUCCUCCCGGGGCAGGGGGCGGGCUCCGGGCCGUCGUCCCGUCCCGUGCCGCACCGCGCCGCCGGCGGGCAGCGAGGCGAAGGCCUGGAACCAGGUUUGCAUACCUCGCUUGUCUCAUCUGCAUUCUCAUCUGCAAGAGUAUACCUGCAGUCUUGGCAGCUGGAAUGAUACCUUGAGGGAAGAGAAAGAACUUCCUUUACUUCAGGAAAGGUUUCGAGUGAGCUGAAUGAGAAACAGUCUCACUGAAGUCACAGGGAGCUGCUUGCAUGAAUCAGGCCUGAGAAUUGAGUUCCAAGUAUGCAACUUUAAUUACAACCUCUCCUGCUCUUAUACCUCCAAACAGCAAUUAAAAAGCAGUUUAUUGGGUUUUGCCAUUUUUCUUCUUGGCAUGUAAGACAUUUGAAACACACGAAGUAAAAUUAGGAAGCAGCUACCUUUUCCUAAGGCUGUAUUUUACAGACAUCGGGGGUGAAAGUUUUGCCCAACUGAAGUUAAUGGGAGUUUUGCCAAUGACUUUGGUGAAGCCUGGAUGUUUGCCCAGAUGCUCUAGAGAAACAAAAAGCUUUUUUCUUCUGGCUUUGUAUAUAUGCCCUGUUCACCUUUCUCUUUUAAUUAUAUUUAUUAAAGUAAACUUUCCGGAUUGGAUGUUUGUAGGUACUUUAUUAGAGGUUUGUAUGCAACCCACAAUAUGUUGCCCACUAUAAAGGAACAGCUUCAGUGACAGUGAAGUAUUUCCUACUGUGGAACAAGAGUUUGGCAAAGCCAGAACUGAGAGAAUGUUUUAACAUUUACGUGAAGGCAUUGCACAUGUUUUAGCUCCGGGAGGCCAGCCUCAAUGCCAGGGACGCUUUGCAUUCCUCUGUUGACUCCCACAAACUCCCUGCACACCACACUCUCAUCACUGGUGAUAUCCCUGUGGCAGAGGUUAAUUCCUGGUUCUGAAAAAGUUCAUGGCAAAAAUUCCACUGAUUUCCAAGAUUUCCUUCUAUAUGCAAUCCAAUUAUUUGAAAUUAAGACAUUGUCCAUGAUAUCUUCAUUGGUGUUAUGAUACCACUUUGGGGGGGGGUGUAAAGUGGUUUAGUGCAUGCUAUACACUGUUCUAUGAGAAUAAUACUUACAAAUAAUUUGGGCUUAAAUUCAAGCACUUUAAAUGCAUUUUGAAUGUUUACAUUAAUGCUUUAAGGACAUGGUGACAACUUAGUUCUUUUCUCUUAGCAGCUUCUACCCUUUUUGCUUUGUUUUCAAACACUUCUUGGGAGUUUUGUUUCCUGUCUGGCAUCCUGUCAAAGUGCUAAUAUAGGACCAUGAGCAGCAAUUACUCCCUACGUUGCUUCAUAGCGGGAACUGCAUAAAGGACAUUUAACAGUUUAAAUGCAUCACCUGAGCUAAGCAUUAAAAAAUUAUCAGCCUUUGAUAUUAUCUUGCUUUCCUAAUUUUACCAAGUCCAUCCUACUGCAUUUUUCAUUAUGUUAUACUAACAAAAUAAUCAUUUAUUUUUAAUAAAUAUGAAAAGGAAUCAAUGUUUGUAUUUAUCUGUUUUGAGUACAGUGAGCACAAUCUAUUUUAGAUAUGCUAAUUAGUAUUCACAAAUGAGUCAACCUUUUUUAAUCACAUCAUUAUCUAAAUAACAGAAUACACAUUCUCUCUUCUUUACAGUGAUGCUAUUGCUGAGGCGAAUGUACUUAAUAUACAAAAGACAAGACUAUAUUGACUCUUGCAGCUGCCUUCUACUCAGAAUAGAAGUUGUUGUUCAGAGUAUUACAUUGGAUUCUUAGCCAUGAAUACAACUGUAAUACUAUAAUCCAAGAUUGUAGGUCUGAUCCUAUAUUCCUUGCACAGAUAACAUUUCAGUUCAAGCAAGUGGAAAUCUUAGAUGCAGCAGUUUUAAUAUGCAUGGCCUUUUCCCAUUUAUGUAAAUAAAAUAAUAAUCAGUAUUAUAUUGUCAAGGUAGAAAUAGAUUUUUAUGCUUUUUGCCUUUGAGAUUUUGUUUGGUUUUCCACUUGAAUCCAUGUUUUGCUUUAAAUGGGAGAAACAAUCCUUGGGAUCCUUAGAAUCUUUUAGAACAAUCCUUAAAAAUUCCAAAACCUGUAUUUCUCUGCCCAUUCAUGACUAAGUUGUCAGCAAGCUUACUGCUGCUUUUCCUUCACAAACAAAGGUAAAUCUCUCCACACACAAAAGUAAAUGCAAAUAUAGUUGUAUGAGUUGUAUGCAUUUGUCUCAAGCAGUAUUAUUAGCUACUGCGUGUCUAAAGUAAUAAUAAGCACCAGUCAGAAAGGAGACAUGAUACAUAUCCUCAGGAGUUCAAAAAGUAAUGAUAAGCAGGCAACACAGAGAGGGAGAAAAACACUAGGUAAGCAGAACUGUCAAACGGAUAGUUGGCAAAAUAAUUUUAUGACAGGUCUACACUUCAGUGUACUUUGCCUUAUAAGUAAGCUAGCUAGGACUUACUUUCAUACAGAGACAGAGAGCAUGGAGAGUGUGGUUAUUAAGCACGUAGCACCUGUAUCGAUGUCAGCAAAGUUAUGUAGUGUGCUGUGUUAAGUGACAGGGACAACUUGAAAUUGAUGUAAGGUGCUUUAAAUCCAUACCGACUGUCACGGCCACUAUGUACUCUUAACAUACAUUUAAGGCAAAGCAACCUCAUGUUUUUCAAGGAAACCACCUCACAUGUAGGCGUUAUCUGUGCACGCUGCUAUGAGGUGCUGGUAGAGUUGCUAGUUCACUGAACAGGGAGACCAGGGCAAAAUUAUUUCCCAGAGCUGAUUAGCCUGUGGUUAAGCCAGCACAGUUUGUGCACUGAGGCAGGAUCACAAGAGCAGAUAAGCAUGCGGGGCAGUCACACUGGGUAAUAGCAAUCAGGUCGGUGUUAAAGCCAUUCAGACCCCGGUCUUUUCCAAGGCAUGCCGAGCAAAAGCAUCAGAAAAACCUCCAAAAAAGAGGCACGGGGCGGGGGGGGAAUCCUGGCUGGCGGCUUGACCUGCCCUGAGGAGGGGCUGGAGGAGAGCUGCAGGGCAGCUGGGACGCCGCUCGCUGCACCAUACAGCACCAAGGUCACUAAGCGUGGUCAGAAAUGCAGCUAGAAACCACCCAGGGCCCUGCUCCCACAGGGCAGCAUUAGAGGGGAAAGCCGGGAGACCUCCACCCGGCAGAUACUGCAGCACCCAACUCUGUGUGUGAAAGAUUUUGUAAAAUAGUGAUAAAGGGUGGUAUCGCGGCACCUUCUAGCUGUGGUUUUGUGCUGGUUUCAGGGCAUUGCCCUUCACCUGCUUCCCCCUUCCUAGUUGCCCUCUCCUGCCUCUCCGGCUCAGCACCGUCCCAGCGGGCAGGCAGCAGGCUGCCGUCCUCAGGGCUACGCGGCGCCUGGCAAGUGCUCCCGGGACCGUGCCAUCUCCAAGGCCUUCUUCCUAUGGAGCUAUUUGCUCCAUGCACUUCCCGUGUCCACCUUCCACUGCAGGUCGAGUCACUGAUGGACCUUACACGUUGCUGGUUUGUGGACCUGUUGCCUUAUAUAUAAAACAAAAGGAUACUGUGCUCAUAUUUAAAAAAUAUUCUAUAUUUAGCAUAUAUAGAGAAUAUAGUCUGUAUAUAAAGCAGUGUUCUCAAAGAGUUUCCAAACUCUUUGAGAACUCUGUGAACAUUUAGUGGGAGAGUGAACCUGAUGGAGAAAUAUUUGUGACUUUGUUUUUAAACUAAAGCUGGUUAAAAAUGGGGAAAAAGAAAAUGUCACUUUUAAGAAAAUCCAGAUCUAAAGCUGUUUGAAAAGCUAGAUGACUUUUCCAUUGGAAAUAUGUCUGUAUUUUUAUCUAAAAACUUUGAAAUGUAAAAUGUCUCAUCAAGCAUAGGAUCUGUCUUCUCUGUACUGUAUAAAGAGUUUAAAGACAUGCUGUCACUGUAUUCAAUACUUUUAUACACAAUAUAUUUUGUGUAUAUAUAUGGUGUAUAUAAAUAUAAUCUCUAUGUAACAAUUUAUAUUAAUUGAUAGUGCUGAAUACUAAUCACAUUGCUAAAAAUAAACAAAGUUAA